ACAGCAGUCGCCGCGGUAAUACGUAGGGUGCAAGCGUUAAUCGGAAUUACUGGGCGUAAAGCGUGCGCAGGCGGUUUUGUAAGACAGAGGUGAAAUCCCCGGGCUCAACCUGGGAACUGCCUUUGUGACUGCAAGGCUAGAGUACGGCAGAGGGGGAUGGAAUUCCGCGUGUAGCAGUGAAAUGCGUAGAUAUGCGGAGGAACACCGAUGGCGAAGGCAAUCCCCUGGGCCUGUACUGACGCUCAUGCACGAAAGCGUGGGGAGCAAACAGGAUUAGAUACCCCUGUAGUCCCUGUCUCUUAUAC
rnacentral:rRNA from 1 species